rnacentral:piRNA from 1 species
UUACACUGUCUUCGGAGAGAAGG